CAGUACCACGGUAAUACAGAGGGUGCGAGCGUUAAUCGGAUUUACUGGGCGUAAAGCGUGCGUAGGCGGCUUCUUAAGUCGGAUGUGAAAUCCCUGAGCUUAACUUAGGAAUUGCAUUCGAUACUGGGAAGCUAGAGUAUGGGAGAGGAUGGUAGAAUUCCAGGUGUAGCGGUGAAAUGCGUAGAGAUCUGGAGGAAUACCGAUGGCGAAGGCAGCCAUCUGGCCUAAUACUGACGCUGAGGUACGAAAGCAUGGGGAGCAAACAGGAUUAGAGACCCCAGUAGUCCCUGUCUCUUAUACC
rnacentral:rRNA from 1 species